AUUCAACUGAUGCAUCCCAAAUAGGACGAAACGUGCGUUUUGGAU
rfam:Schistosoma mattheei strain Denwood, Zambia genome assembly, scaffold: SMTD_scaffold0002998